GCUUAACACAUGCAAGUCGAACGCGUCCUUCGGGACGAGUGGCAGACGGGUGCGUAACGCGUGGGAACGUGCCCCUUGGUUCGGAAUAGCCCCGGGAAACUGGGAGUAAUACCGGAUGAGCUCUGCGGAGGAAAGAUUUAUCGCCGAGGGAUCGGCCCGCGUUGGAUUAGGUAGUUGGUGGGGUAACGGCCUACCAAGCCGACGAUCCAUAGCUGGUUUGAGAGGAUGAUCAGCCACACUGGGACUGAGACACGGCCCAGACUCCUACGGGAGGCAGCAGUGGGGAAUCUUGGACAAUGGGCGCAAGCCUGAUCCAGCCAUGCCGCGUGAGUGACGAAGGCCUUAGGGUUGUAAAGCUCUUUCGUGGGGGAAGAUAAUGACUGUACCCCAAGAGAGCCCCGGCUAACUCCGUGCCAGCAGCCGCGGUAAUAC
rnacentral:rRNA from 1 species